UACUGGGUUUGUGGGUUCACAUUUCCUCUUCACAGGUUGUUGGAGGGCUAGGGAGACUCAUAAGGAGACUCCAUCCAGCUAAUUACCUCGGCUGCAGAGUCACCCUUCUCACCUGCAGCCCAUCAUGUAAUUAGACGGGAGGAAUAAAGGAGCCAGUGAACCAGCCACUCAGCGCCAGAUUGUUUGCCUUAGUGGUAACGUCCAGCCACCUGAAUCUGUUCCUGUUUUAUUCUAGUCUGUUCCCUGAAACCUCUGUCUGUCAUCACAGGAUUCCUAGAACCCGUUCUGGAUUACACCUUUGUGUGGAAGUCUCAUACCAGCCUCUGCAGCUCCCGGAUCUCCUGAACCACGGCUGAAUCCUCCCUGGCUCUGUUCUCCUCCCGUGCGUCUCCUGUUCACCCUCCAACAACCCGCCUCACUUCUCCGAACCUCCACAUCUACCCACAGCCCCGGUACCGGCUCACCUCUCCCACGCUCCGCUACAACCAAAUCUCAUGAUCCAAUCUCUAGCUCCGGAACCAGCCCAUCCCUGCCAGCCUCCGCUCACCUCUAAUAAACUAUUUUUUACAACA